GACGAACGCUGGCGGCGUGCUUAACACAUGCAAGUCGAACGGAAAGGCCCCUUUUGGGGUACUCGAGUGGCGCACGGGGGCGUAACACGUGAGUAACCUGCCCUUGACUUCGGGAUAACUUCAGGAAACUGGGGCUAAUACCGGCUAGGAAUCCUUGCUGCAUGGUGGGGGUUGGAAAGCUUCGGCGGUUUUGGAUGGACUCGCGGCUUAUCAGCUUGUUGGUGGGGUAGUGGCUUACCAAGGCUUUGACGGGUAGCCGGCCUGAGAGGGCGACCGGCCACAUUGGGACUGAGAUACGGCCCAGACUCCUACGGGAGGCAGCAGUGGGGAAUAUUGCACAAUGGGCGGAAGCCUGAUGCAGCAACGCCGCGUGCGGGAUGACGGCCUUCGGGUUGUAAACCGCUUUCAGCAGGGGCGAAGCUUGUGGUGACGGUACCUGCAGAAGAAGCACCGGCUAACUACGUG
rnacentral:rRNA from 1 species